AGAGUUUGAUCCUGGCUCAGGACGAACGCUGGCGGCGUGCUUAACACAUGCAAGUCGAACGCACAUUUCGGGGCUUGCUCCGGAGUGUGAGUGGCGAACGGGUGCGUAACACGUGAGGAACUUGUCCUUCGGCGGGGGAUAGCCGGCCCAACGGCCGGGUAAUACCGCGUACGACCUUUGGGGCACCUGCCCUGGGGGUGAAAGCAGCAAUGCGCCGAUGGAGGGCCUCGCGGCCUAUCAGCUUGUUGGUGAGGUAACGGCUCACCAAGGCAACGACGGGUAGCUGGUCCGAGAGGAUGGCCAGCCACAUUGGGACUGAGACACGGCCCAGACUCCUACGGGAGGCAGCAGUGGGGAAUCUUGCGCAAUGGGCGAAAGCCUGACGCAGCGACGCCGCGUGCGGGAUGACGGCCUUCGGGUUGUAAACCGCUGUCGGGAGGGACGAACACCAU
rnacentral:rRNA from 1 species